GGCCAGUUAGCUCACCUGGUUAGAGUGUGGUGCUAAAAACACCGACGUUAUGGGUUCGCCCCCGUACGGGCAA